rnacentral:misc_RNA from 1 species
AAGUCGUAACAAGGUUUCCGUAGGUGAACCUGCGGAAGGAUCAUUAAUGAGAAUCGGCUUCACUGCCGUGGGGGCUUCGGCCCCCGACUCACACCCUGUGAAUACGUAUCUCUUUUGCUUCGGUGGACCCCGCGGGGUGACCCGCGCCCGCCAGAGAAGCCCCAUUUACAUCCUGUUUGAUCAGUGUCGUCCGAGCAAAAAACAUAAAUGAAUCAAAACUUUCAACAACGGAUCUCUUGGUUCUG